UUCGAAUCUCCAAUUUCGGUCUGAAAAACAUUACAAUUUACAAUCACCAUCCUCGGGUACAAUUGGUUCGGCAUUAUCAUCAUCUUCAUCACCUGUUUGAUCAGCAUCUCUGGUGAGUGGGGUUCAUCUCUUCCUCUUCAAAAUCCAUAAUCGCAACACCAUGUUCAUCCUUUUUAUAAAAUUCUGACUUCAUGGAUUUCGCAACUACACAUAGGCAGUCAUCCUCCUGGGUAUAGCCACAAAUCAAUACACUAUGAUUAGUCUUUGGUUCGGAUUUUGGGUAGAUUUGCUUCAUAGCUUCAACAGAUUGAUGAGUCCAUAUUUUCAUAGAAGCUGUAAAUUUUUCUAGGAACCCGUCAAAAGCUGCCGUGAUAGGAUCCAGAUCAACCAAUGGAGCUCUCAAUGAAAGUAGCAUUGAUACUGAUUUAUAGUCUCAGAUAGACUUUGAUAGAAAUUGUAGAGAAAAAGAUAGAUAGGAGAGGAAGUUUUUAAUUCACUUCAUUGAUAUCUAAU
rnacentral:lncRNA from 1 species